AGUGAACGCUGGCGGUAGGCCUAAUACAUGCAAGUCGAACGGCAGCACAGUAAGAGCUUGCUCUUACGGGUGGCGAGUGGCGGACGGGUGAGGAAUACAUCGGAAUCUACUUUUUCGUGGGGGAUAACGUAGGGAAACUUACGCUAAUACCGCAUACGACCUACAGGUGAAAGCAGGGGAUCUUCGGACCUUGCGCGAUUGAAUGAGCCGAUGUCGGAUUAGCUAGUUGGCGGGGUAAAGGCCCACCAAGGCGACGAUCCGUAGCUGGUCUGAGAGGAUGAUCAGCCACACUGGAACUGAGACACGGUCCAGACUCCUACGGGAGGCAGCAGUGGGGAAUAUUGGACAAUGGGCGCAAGCCUGAUCCAGCCAUACCGCGUGGGUGAAGAAGGCCUUCGGGUUGUAAAGCCCUUUUGUUGGGAAAGAAAAGCAGCAGGUUAAUACCCCGCUGUUCUGACGGUACCCAAAGAAUAAGCACCGGCUAACUUCGUG
rnacentral:rRNA from 1 species